rnacentral:rRNA from 1 species
AGUGAACGCUGGCGGUAGGCCUAACACAUGCAAGUCGAACGGCAGCACAGUAAGAGCUUGCUCUUACGGGUGGCGAGUGGCGGACGGGUGAGGAAUACAUCGGAAUCUACUUUUUCGUGGGGGAUAACGUAGGGAAACUUACGCUAAUACCGCAUACGACCUACGGGUGAAAGCAGGGGAUCUUCGGACCUUGCGCGAUUGAAUGAGCCGAUGUCGGAUUAGCUAGUUGGCGGGGUAAAGGCCCACCAAGGCGACGAUCCGUAGCUGGUCUGAGAGGAUGAUCAGCCACACUGGAACUUAGACACGGUCCAGACUCCUACGGGAGGCAGCAGUGGGGAAUAUUGGACAAUGGUCGCAAGCCUGAUCCAGCCAUACCGCGUGGGUGAAGAAGGCCUUCGGGUUGUAAAGCCCUUUUGUUGGGAAAGAAAAGCAGCAGGUUAAUACCCCGCUGUUCUGACGGUACCCAAAGAAUAAGCACCGGCUAACUUCGUG